rnacentral:rRNA from 1 species
AGAGUUUGAUCAUGGCUCAGGACGAACGCUGGCGGCGUGCUUAACACAUGCAAGUCGAGGGCGGUAGCAAUACCGACCGGCAGACGGGUGCGUAACACGUGAGCGACCUGCCUGGAUGCGGGGGAUAGCCGGCCCAACGGCCGGGUAAUACCGCAUACGUUCUCGGGGCUUCAUGGUCCUGAGAGGAAACCCUUCGGGGGCAUUCAGAGGGGCUCGCGGCCUAUCAGCUAGUUGGUGCGGUAACGGCGCACCAAGGCGACGACGGGUAGCUGGUCUGAGAGGAUGGCCAGCCACAUUGGGACUGAGAGACGGCCCAGACUCCUACGGGAGGCAGCAGUGGGGAAUCUUGCGCAAUGGCCGAAAGGCUGACGCAGCGACGCCGCGUGUGGGAGGACGCCCUUCGGGGUGUAAACCACUGUUGCCCGGGACGAAUGCCCUGUUUCGGCGGGGUUGACGGUACCGGGUGAGGAAGCGCCGGCUAACUCCGUGCCAGCAGCCGCGGUAAUACGGAGGGCGCGAGCGUUGUCCGGAAUCACUGGGCGUAAAGGGCGCGUAGGCGGCCGCGGUAAGGCUCGCGUGAAAGCCCGGGGCUCAACCCCGGGUCGGCGCGGGCGACUGCCGGGCUGGAGCACGGUAGGGGCAGACGGAAUUCCGGGUGUAGCGGUGGAAUGCGUAGAGAUCCGGAAGAACACCGGUGGCGAAGGCGGUCUGCUGGGCCGGAAUAGGGGACAGCAAUGUCUCCUAGUGCUGACGCUGAGGCGCGACAGCGUGGGGAGCAAACAGGAUUAGAUACCCUGGUAGUCCACGCCGUAAACGAUGGGCACUAGGUGCCCGGGGGAGCGACCCUCCGGGUGCCGGCGCUAACGCAUUAAGUGCCCCGCCUGGGGAGUACGGCCGCAAGGCUGAACUCAAGGAUUGACGAUCGUCGACCUGCAGCAUGCAAGCUUGCACUGUCGUCGUUUACACGUCGUGACUGGGAAACCCUGCGUACCCACUAAUCGCCUGCAGCACAUCCCCCUUUCGCCAGCUG